UGAAAAAUAAAAAAAUUAAAAUUUUCAAAGGAUAAACUUAGAAAUAUGCUAUUUUGGUCAUUUUAGUUUUUUGAGUGCUAUUUUUGUGAUAUAAAUGUGCUAUUUUGGAGAUUUGCCCUUGGCAAUAUGCUAAAUCGCCAAAAAAAAAAAAACAUUUGAAGCCGGACUAAGAUAAUCCAUGUAGGAGAUCGUAAGAUUUCCGUGUGGACCAACGGGCCAAUGGGCCCAUAAAGAUCUUCGGAGGAGGUACUAAACAGCGUGUAGUUUACAGGAAUUUAUUUGGAACUACACGUUGUUUGUAUCUUCAAAACCCUAGUUCCUAAUUUUGUUUUCUGUAUAAAACCACCAGAAACUUGCAUUAAAAAAAUCAUUAGAAAUUUUCUUACGGCUUUCGAUCUCUGCCGAUCUAGUUUUCUGCUUUUCUUGGUUUAUUGUUUUGGCUGUUCUUGGACGGUGACGAUUGAUAUUAAGGUCUCGUUCGUCGUAACAUCGGCUGUAAAACGCUAAUUUGCCGACCAUUCUGUUAUAUCACCACCCAUAUUCUGAGUCCAUACUUCAGUCUUUUUUUCAAUUUCUUAUUUUUUACUGGCCGAUGAUUUAAAUAAUUUUGACAAGCAUAUGUCUGAAUCAAACCUUGUUGAUAAAAUCUAAUCUUCUCUAUGAGGCCAAUCUUUGAUUAAUUCCAAAUUCGAUUUUUGAUUUGCUUUGUGUUUUUCUUAAAUUUUAUGUUCAAUUAGAGGGAUAAAAAGAGUUUGGAAAGGGUCAAGUGAGGAUUGAUUUCGCAUAGUUCAGAUGAUAAAAAAUCUUACAUGAUUACAGUUAUCUUUCGCUCCUAUCUGAUGACCUUUUCCAAAAUUUUACAUUUAUGAUCUAAUUUGAUUAUUUUAUAUUUUAUUCUUUUUUAUGUUUUAUGUCCUUUGAUUUUGUUCCAUAGAGUUUUUGUAUCAAUCUGUAAACAUUGUAGGUAUGAUUUUCCAUUAUAGAUCUUAAGUAGUUAUUUAUCGUCAUGAUAUUUGGUAGAUCUUAGAGAGCCAAAAUUUUUCCAUUGCUAUCGUCUUGUUAUUUGGAUUGACGGUAAUAUUCUGCUUUCUAUCUCUGUUGUUGAUUCCUGUUUUAAUCGCAUGUUUGCAGGUUAUAUUUUGAUUGUCCGGUGUUUACAUUCAAAAGAUUAAAGUUAAUAGUAUUUUGAUGAGGCAUCAAGGUCGUGUAGAAGUUAGCACUGCGAUGUCCCAGUGGUCUUUAUUCUCUAGAAACGAAGUCUCUUUGCUAAUUUAAAAUUAGGUUAAAUGUUUGGUGUGUAAGUAUUGAAUUGUCUUAUUGGAUUAUCUUUGCUAAUAGACUUUUAAUCAAAAAUAAUUUUGUGAAGUGUUGCUUUUGUCACGAAUUAUAAAAGCUAAAUAUGAAAAAACUAAUGUGAAUUUUGAUCUGGAAAUGGACGAGUUAAUGACCCAGAAGCAAAUUCUCAUGAUCUAUGUAUCUACUCUGUCGUUGAGAUCUAAUUCAAAUCUGAAUAUACUCAACCUGAUUAUGCUGAGUUAUACUCAACAAAUACAUUUUAUUAGUGCCGUGGAGGCAUUGGUUACAUGUCCCAUGCUGAGUUGAUGACCCAGAAGCAAACUAAGCAAAAGAGGCAUUGGCUACAUUUUCCAUGGAGGCAUUGGCUACAUGUCCCAUGGAACAUUUAAAAUUCCAAGCGCCCCUUAAUUUUCAGUUAAGGUUACAUUUCUUUUUGGCUUUUGGCUAAAAUAAAUGAAAAUCUAAAAUUUUAGUCAAGAAGUCUGGAAUCUCAACAAAAAAGAAAAUCCAGUUUUGUGGAUGUAUAUCUACAUAAGGUAAAAAGAAGAGAAAAUGACACAAAGAACACCAAACAAAGUUUUUUUCCCCAAACUAGCACUCAUGAUCAGAAAUCACAAAAAUAAGUUUCACUAAAGGGGUAAUUUACCCUUAUACCUUCUUCUUUGAGUAAUUAAAAAGAAAAAUUUGAAAUCAAUUGUCGCCGUCCUCGUUUCAUCGCUUCUUCUUCUCCUCAUCGCUGUCUUUCGUCGUCGUCGUCUCUCCCUCGUCGUCUCUCUGUCGUCGUCAUCGUCGUCGUCAUCGUCGUCGUCUCUCCGUCGUCGUCAUCGCCUCUCCGUCGUCGUCUUCGCCUCUCCGUUGAUCCGUCGUCGUCGUCUCUCCGUUUAUUUAUCGUCGUCGUCGUCGUUUCUCAAUUGAUCUGUCGUUUCUACGUCUAUUCAUCUCAUUCUCUCUCUCGUGUGUCUGAUUUGAUUAAGAACAAUGGAAGUUUUGUGCAUCUGUGGACAAUGGAUCUCAAAAAAUAUCUCCAGUGGGAGUUUCUUGUUGAUUUGAAGAGGAAUGCAUCAAUCAUUUCCAUAGAAGAAGAUCUACUGUAUAAAGAUUUGAUGAAGAUUGUUUCUGAAGAUUUUAGUGUUAAAGAGGAAGAAAUCAGUUUGAGUUAUGGUAUUUCAUUGGAUAUGAAAUGUAUUAUUGAAAGUUUCCCCCCACUCUCGAUAGGUAAUACUUGUCAGCUCAGAA